CCCACCCCACCUCUCAGGACACCUGCACGCACAGGUCUGAGCAGUGGGGGAGGUUCCCGGCUUCUGGAACCCGACCUGGGCUGUGUCCUCAGGCCCCUGCCUGGGCCCACAGCUGGGGCUGACAGAGGCACCAAGCAGGUGGGCAGGCAGUUGAGGAAGAGGAAGCUGGGGCAGAGUUGGGUCACCCUGCGGUUCCCCGGGGGCCCCGACCCGCCGGUGCUCCCCCCGGGCCUCCUGGAAGCUGUGGGUCUUGGGGACCGUAGGAGCUGGUGGCCGGGCCGGGUACCCACAGCAGCGAGGACAAGCCUCCCUCUGGUUCUGAGCCCAAGCCAUGUGCCCAGCCCUUUGACUCUGGAGCUGCAGCUUCAGGCACUGAGAGCAGCGACGGAGCCUGGAGGUCCGAGCACCCAGACUUCCCCACCAUGGAGGAUGAGCAGGAGGAUGGUAUUCCAGGGCAGCUCAGCGACAGCACGGAGGACCUCAGCCUGGACUUGGGGGCUCUGCAGGGCAGCGAGUAUCUCCAGGACCUGGGCCUUGGGGCCUUUUCCCACAGCCAGCCUGGGGGGGCCGGGGACAGUGGCCACCCCAGCGAAGAGGUCGGAGGAGCAUCGACCUUCUGCAGCUCAGCAGAGACCCGGGGCCUGCCUCGGAGACGCAGCUGGGAGAGGUCGCGGAGCUGCUCCGGGAGCUGGCAGAGGCUCAGCCUUGAGGCCUCGGCUGUGAAGGAGGGGCCCUGUCUCCCUCGGACACUGGCCAGCCUUACUCUGAACCUACCCGGAGAGGAUCUGCAGGCCUGGACCCAAGAGUGUCUGUCUGGGGGUGGGACCCCAGCAGAGCACCCAGGCAAGGAAUGUGACAGCCCUGAGAAAAGAGUAAGGUCACGGUCUGUUCCUGUGUCCUUCAAUGAGAUCAGCUCCCUGGAAAUCUCUCCCGCUUUGGAGGUGCCCACUCCAGCUGUUCAAGGCAUGGAGCCCCCAGUGCUGGAGUGCAUGGGAAAGGACCACGUGGAGCCAGACCACGUGCUGAUUGUCCAGCAGGUGCUUCAAGAACUUCGGCAGUACCAUGGGGCCCGGCAGAGGUCUUGCUUGUCAACCAGCCCUGGAGGAGCCCACGCAAACCUCACCUGGUUUGAGUUCCUGUCUGAGAGCGAGGAUGGCGCCAGCAAGAUUGAGCGGAGUAACAGGAGCACCAGGGUGAAGCGCAGACUGAGCUCCCUACGUUGUCGGGUCACCAGGCAGAAGGAGAAGGGGAAGAGCCCAGUGCUUCUAAAGGACAAGGCUCAGGAUGCUAGAGAGAGAAGGGAAUGUGUCAACGGGCACCAGCUGGCACAAGGAACCUUCCUUGGCCACUCCAGCUGCCCCCUGUGUGGCAAACCCUUUCUGAGCUCUGCGUCCCUGAAGGAGCACCCGAGGGCCACCCUCUUGUCUGAUGGCAGCCCGGCCCUGUCCAGGAAUGUCGGCAUGAUGGUCUCACAGAAGGGGGGGCCGCAGCCAGCACCCAGCCCAGUGGGAACGGGGACACAGCUUGGACCAGUCACAGGAGAGAUGGAUGAAGCCGACUCUGUAUUUUUAAAAUCUAAGCAGGCAGCUGAUGACUCUCUCUCGCUUACGUCUUCGAAUGCCGAGCCCAUUUUUGUAGAAGACCCCUGCACAGCCUUGCUGAGGAGUGAGAUCGAGGCGGACGCCCGCGAUUUUGAGGCUGAGUCCUGGAGCCUUUCCGUGGACGCGGCAUACUCAAAGAAACAAAAGAAAGAGGUGGUAAAGAGGCAGGAUGUGCUCUAUGAGCUGGUGCAGACGGAGGUACACCACGUCCGGACACUCAAGAUCAUGCUGAAGGUCUACUCCAGGGCCCUGCAGGAUGAGCUUCAGUUCAGCAGUAAGGCCAUCGGCCGCCUCUUCCCGUGUGUGGAUGAGCUGCUCGACAUGCACAGCCACUUCCUCUCUCGGCUGAAGGAGCGCCGCCAGGAGUCCCUGGAGGAGGGUAGUGACCGCAAUUACAUCAUCCAGAAAAUCGGGGACCUCUUGGUACAGCAGUUCUCCGGCGAAAAUGGGGACAGAAUGAAAGAAAAAUACGGUGUCUUUUGUAGUGGCCACAAUGAGGCCGUCGGCCAUUACAAGUUGCUGCUCCAGCAAAACAAGAAAUUUCAAAGCCUGAUCAAGAAAAUUGGCAACUUCUCCAUCGUGAGGCGGCUUGGCGUGCAGGAGUGUAUCCUUCUGGUCACUCAGCGCAUAACCAAGUACCCCGUGCUGGUGGAGCGCAUUAUUCAGAACACAGAAGCCGGCACCGAGGACUACAGAGACCUGACCCAGGCCCUGAACCUCAUCAAGGACAUCAUCUCCCAAGUGGACGCCAAGGUCAGCGAGUCCGAGAAGGGCCAGCGCCUCCGGGAGAUCGCGGGGAAGAUGGACUUAAAGUCCUCCAGCAAGCUCAAGAACGGGCUGACCUUCCGCAAAGAGGACAUGCUGCAGCGACGACUCCACCUGGAGGGCACGCUGUGCUGGAAGACCGCGUCGGGGCGCCUGAAAGAUGUCCUUGCUGUCCUGCUGACUGAUGUGCUCUUGCUGCUACAAGAAAAGGAUCAAAAAUAUGUCUUUGCCUCUGUGGACUCGAAGCGCCCGGUCAUCUCGUUACAAAAGCUCAUUGUGAGGGAGGUGGCCAACGAGGAGAAAGCCAUGUUUCUGAUCAGUGCCUCCCUGCAAGGGCCCGAGAUGUACGAGAUCUAUACCAGCUCCAAAGAGGAGAGGAACACUUGGAUGGCCCACAUCAGAAGGGCCGUCGAGAGCUGUCCGGACGAGGAGGAGGGGCCCUUCAGCGAGGCCGAAGAGGAGAAGAAGGUGUUCGAGGCCCGCGCCCUGAGGCUGAGGGACUUCCAAGAGCGAUUGAACGUGAAAGACCAGCAGAUUGCACAGAGCCUUGGCGAGAAGCAGCAGAUCUACCUGGAGAUGGCGGAGAUGAGCGGGCUCGAAGAUGUCCCCCAGUCGCGGCUCCUCUUCCGAGGAGGGGAUCCCUCUGAGACCAUGCAGGGGGAGCUGAUCCUCAAGUCGGCCAUGAGUGAGAUCGAGGACAUCCAGACCCUGAUCUGCAGGCAGCUGGGCAGCGCCAACGGCCAGGUGGUCGAUGGGGGAGGUUCCGCGGGCCUGCCCCGCAGGGCAGAGACCUUCGGGGGCUACGACACUGUGAGCAGUCCCGGCAAGAAUGGCAGUUUGAAGAAGGCCCACAGCAGCGACCCCGGCCCCCAAGACUGGCAAGGCCCGGUGAGCAGCCCAGACUCGAAGCCCAGCAACACGCCGGGGGCCUCUGAGGACACCCCGCCCGCAGUGGCGGUGCCGGGGGCGGAGUCCGGCCGCCCUCUGCCCGCGGCCCUGGAGCUGGAGCUUGUCCAGCGGAUCCAGACCCUGUCUCAGCUGCUCCUCAGCCUCCAGGCAGUCAUUGCCCAGCAGGACAGCUGCGUGGAGAUGCAGAGGGCCUCCAUCCAGGAGCGCGAGAAGCAGCUGCGGCUGCAGUCCACGCGCGGGAACCUGCUGCUGGAGCAGGAGCGCCAGCGCAACUUCGAGAAGCAGCGCGAGGAGCUGGCCGCCGUGCAGAAGCAGCAGGGCCUCCUGCGGGGGGAGCAGCAGCGCUGGGAGCGCGAGCGGGAGCGCCAGCAGCACGAGCUGGCCCUGGCCUCGGCCCGGCUGCAGCGGUGCCAGAACGAGUCGCUGCAGCUGCAGGAGCGGCUGAGCCAGGAGCGCGAGCAGCUGGAGCAGCGGCGGCGCGCCUACCAGCACGACCUGGCGCGGCUGCGGGAGGCCCAGCGCGCCGUGGAGCGGGAGCGCGAGCAGCUGGAGCAGCAGCGGCGCCUCCGCAAGCAGAACACGGCGCCCGGCGCGCUGCCGCCCGACUUGCCGGCCGAGGCCCAGCCACUAAGCCACACUCCCAGCUUCAACGGGGAAGGGCCGGAAGGGCCCGCCGCCCUCGCCAAAGCGCCAGGAGCCCGGGUGAGCAUGCCGCUGGCGGGCCCGGGGCCCGAGUUCCCAGAGCGCCCCGAGAUGGCUCGCCGGGACAGCGCCCCCGCCGAGAGCCGGCCGGCCAAGAGCGACGUGCCCAUCCAGCUGCUGAGCGCCACCAACCAGAUCCAGAGGCAGGCGGCUGUGCAGCAGCAGAUCCCCACCAAGCUGGCUGCCUCCACCAAGGGCGCCAAGGACAAGGGCGGCAAGAGCAGGGGCUCCCAGCGCUGGGACAGCUCAGCCUCCUUCGACCUGAAGCAGCAGCUGCUCCUCAGCAAGCUCGUGGGCAAGGACGAGAACAGCGCUCGGAACCGCCGCUCGCUGAGCCCGGUUCUGCUCAGCAGCCACAGCUCCGUGUGCCCCGCGGACCCCUGCUGCCCGGCCCCGGCUGACGUCCCCACCGAGUGCUGCCCCCUCAAGCCCGGGGGCGCCCCCGUGCCCCCCUCCCCCUUGCCACCGCCCAGCACACCGGGCGGCAAGGAAGACGGCAGCAAGGAAGACGUCAUCUUCUUCUAGAGGGGGUGUGGCUCGAGGUGCAGACCCCUCCCCGUCCUGCUCUCUGGGGAACAGCCCAGUCCCUUUCCUCUUCCCGAGCAAACCACCACCAACGGCUGCCUGGCUGGGGCCGGGGUCAGGGUCACGGUCAGGGCCGGGGCUGGCCCGUCGCCUCGAAGGCUCUUCCUGUAGGAUUAGCAGUGGUGCCUGGUGCUUGGGGCCUGCAGCAUCCGCGCGUCCUCGGGGAGCCAGGAGAAGCGUCCUCCCUCGGUCCUGUGAGGCGUCCGAGCUCACCUGUGCCGUGUCUGUGAUCAGUGUUUGCGUUUUCGUACUGAGACGUCUCCAAGCACUUGAGCAGAGUUGACUUUUAAGUUCCUGUCCUAUGGUGAAGCGAACAGCUCUGGCCCCUCGUGCUGGGUGAUUCCACCGCCACGCGCCCCUGUCCGCCGGCUCUGGUCUGACCCUCCGAGACGCCACGAUUCCUCAGCCGGUGACAAGUCCAAGGAACCGCCACUUGGCCGUGUGGCAGGGAACUGGGGCAUCCCACCGCGGGGCCACACAGCAGGGCAGUGUCGUCAUGGGUCCAUCCCUCGUCCGGGCAAGGUCACUCCCGGAGAGCCCGAUUUUAUUUGUACGGUUGGUGGUUGAGCAGAUCCUCAUGUCCAUGGAACCUGUGCACGUCCUCAUUAAUUGUGACCAUAAUCUUAGUCCAGCCGACAAUUAUUUUUAUGAUGAUUGCAACAUUUCCUCACCGUGGGGUCUUUCAGAACCACCUUAGAACUUAAGACCUGAUUCCAGCAAUAAAAGUAUCGAAGAUGA